UACGUAGGGUGCAAGCGUUGUCCGGAAUUAUUGGGCGUAAAGAGCUCGUAGGCGGUCUGUCGCGUCGGCUGUGAAAACCUGGGGCUCAACCCCGGGCCUGCAGCCGAUACGGGCAAGCUAGAAUUCGGUAGGGGAGACUGGAAUUCCUGGUGUAGCGGUGAAAUGCGCAGAUAUCAGGAGGAACACCGGUGGCGAAGGCGGGUCUCUGGGCAACAACUGACGCUGAGGAGCGAAAGCGUGGGGAGCGAACAGG
rnacentral:rRNA from 1 species